GACGAACGCUGGCGGCGUGCUUAACACAUGCAAGUCGAACGGAAAGGCCCUGCUUUUGUGGGGUGCUCGAGUGGCGAACGGGUGAGUAACACGUGAGUAACCUGCCCUUGACUUUGGGAUAACUUCAGGAAACUGGGGCUAAUACCGGAUAGGAGCUCCUGCUGCAUGGUGGGGGUUGGAAAGUUUCGGCGGUUGGGGAUGGAAUCGCGGCUUAUCAGCUUGUUGGUGGGGUAGUGGCUUACCAAGGCUUUGACGGGUAGCCGGCCUGAGAGGGUGACCGGCCACAUUGGGACUGAGAUACGGCCCAGACUCCUACGGGAGGCAGCAGUGGGGAAUAUUGCACAAUGGGCGGAAGCCUGAUGCAGCAACGCCGCGUGCGGGAUGACGGCCUUCAGGUUGUAAACCGCUUUCGCCUGUGACGAAGCGUGAGUGACGGUAAUGGGUAAAGAAGCACCGGCUAACUACGUG
rnacentral:rRNA from 1 species